CAAAAGGCUUUUCUGCUUUUUCCUAAUGAAUCUGUAAAGCCACCAAAACAUCAAAAGUCAUGGUAG
rfam:Caprimulgus carolinensis contig99761, whole genome shotgun sequence.